rnacentral:rRNA from 1 species
CCGUGAUAAAGUAGCAUAAUCACUCGUCAUUUAAUUGGUGACUGGAAUGAAUGGUUACACGAAUCUUUAACUGUCUCAAGAAGAAAGUUCAAUUAAUUUGAAAAAACAGUGAAGAUGCUGUUAACAAAAUUGUAAGACGAAAAGACCCUUUCGAGCUUUACUAUAAGCUUAUAGAAAAAAUCUUUAAUAAAAAUAUAAUAAAAACAAACUGUAAGCUAGUUAGUUUGGUUGGGGCGACCACCUCUAAAACAGUAUCAGAGGAAAUCUAAAGGUAUAAUAGUAAUAUUAAUUGCCUUACUGUAUACAAACAAGUUAAUCAGUUACUAUUAUGUAGGAUAUAAUGACCCGUUGAAUUAAUUUCAAAAUUCAACGACCAUGAAAAAAGUUACCAUAGGGAUAACAGGGUAAUAUUAUCAAAGAGUUCAUAUCGAUGAUGAU